rnacentral:rRNA from 1 species
AGCGAACGCUGGCGGCAGGCCUUACACAUGCAAGUCGAACGGUAACGCGGGGCAACCUGGCGACGAGUGGCGAACGGGUGAGUAAUGCGUCGGAACGUGCCCAGUAGUGGGGGAUAGCCCGGCGAAAGCCGGAUUAAUACCGCAUACGACCUACGGGUGAAAGCGGGGGACCGUAAGGCCUCGCGCUAUUGGAGCGGCCGACGUCAGAUUAGGUUGUUGGUGGGGUAAAGGCCUACCAAGCCGACGAUCUGUAGCUGGUCUGAGAGGACGACCAGCCACACUGGGACUGAGACACGGCCCAGACUCCUACGGGAGGCAGCAGUGGGGAAUUUUGGACAAUGGGGGCAACCCUGAUCCAGCCAUGCCGCGUGCGGGAAGAAGGCCUUCGGGUUGUAAACCGCUUUUGUCAGGGAAGAAACGAUCUGGGCUAAUACCCUGGGGUAAUGACGGUACCUGAAGAAUAAGCACCGGCUGACUACGUGCCAGCCGCCGCCGUAAAAC